UCCAGAACUGCUGUUCUCCCAUCCCAUGU
rnacentral:piRNA from 1 species